rnacentral:rRNA from 1 species
GGCUUAGAGUUUGAUCAUGGCUCAGGAUGAACGCUGGCGGCGUGCUUAACACAUGCAAGUCGAGCGAAGCACUUGGGAUUGAUUUCUUCGGAAUGAAAUCUCAUUUGACUGAGCGGCGGACGGGUGAGUAACGCGUGGGUGACCUGCCCCAUACCGGGGGAUAACAGCUGGAAACGGCUGCUAAUACCGCAUAAGCGCACAGGGCUGCAUGGCUCAGUGUGAAAAACUCCGGUGGUAUGGGAUGGGCCCGCGUCUGAUUAGGCAGUUGGCGGGGUAACGGCCCACCAAACCGACGAUCAGUAGCCGACCUGAGAGGGCGACCGGCCACAUUGGGACUGAGACACGGCCCAAACUCCUACGGGAGGCAGCAGUGGGGAAUAUUGCACAAUGGGGGAAACCCUGAUGCAGCGACGCCGCGUGAGCGAAGAAGUAUUUCGGUAUGUAAAGCUCUAUCAGCAGGGAAGAUAAUGACGGUACCUGACUAAGAAGCCCCGGCUAACUACGUGCCAGCAGCCGCGGUAAUACGUAGGGGGCAAGCGUUAUCCGGAUUUACUGGGUGUAAAGGGAGCGUAGACGGCGAAGCAAGUCUGGUGUGAAAACCCGGGGCUCAACCCCGGGCCUGCAUUGGAAACUGUUUUGCUGGAGUGCCGGAGAGGUAAGCG